GCCUGGGUGGCUCAGUCUGUUAAGUGCCCGACUUCAGCUCAGGUCAUGAUCUCACGGUUUGUGGGUUCAAGCCCCACAUCGGGCU
rnacentral:tRNA from 1 species